UACAGAGACUGCAAGCGUUAUUCGGAUUCACUGGGCGUAAAGGGUGCGCAGGCGGCCGCAUGUGUUAGGUGUGAAAUCCUGAGGCUCAACCUCAGAAUUGCGCCUAAAACUGUGCGGCUAGAGUCCCGGAGAGGGUAGCGGAAUUCACGGUGUAGCAGUGAAAUGCGUAGAUAUCGUGAAGAACACCAGAGGCGAAGGCGGCUACCUGGAAGGCGACUGACGCUAAUGCACGAAAGCGUGGGGAGCAAAAGGG
rnacentral:rRNA from 1 species